GACGAACGCUGGCGGCGUGCUUAACACAUGCAAGUCGAGCGGUAAGGCCCUUUCGGGGUACGACGAGCGGCGAACGGGUGAGUAACACGUGGGUGACCUGCCCUCAGCUCUGGGAUAAGCCUGGGAAACUGGGUCUAAUACUGGAUAUGACUCCACGGUGCAUGUCGUGGGGUGGAAAGCCUUGUGCGGCUGAGGAUGGGCCCGCGGCCUAUCAGCUUGUUGGUGGGGUGANGGCCUACCAAGGCGACGACGGGUAGCCGGCCUGAGAGGGCGACCGGCCACACUGGGACUGAGACACGGCCCAGACUCCUACGGGAGGCAGCAGUGGGGAAUCUUGCGCAAUGGGCGAAAGCCUGACGCAGCGACGCCGCGUGAGGGAUGACGGCCUGGUGUAAC
rnacentral:rRNA from 1 species